ACAAGGGAUAAACCUACAGAGUAGACUCUCAAAAAAGGAGCAUACCAAAAUUAUAGUUGUAAGUGUUGGCCUGUAAUGUGUUCUGUGUGUCUCACAGAAAGAGGCUCUGGAAACCUGAAGCAGAAGAGUUAAGCAGAGCAAGAGAGUGUGCCAGGUCUGCCAAGGUCAGCAGCUGGUUGACAAGGGCAACCGCUGAGAUAAGAAGGGGACUCAAGGCAGCUCUGGUGUGGGGGAAAGUUUGUAUGGAAGGAGGACUGCGUUUGUUAACUUUAGUGUCAGUGAAAGACUCUUACAAAGUACUUUGCCUGGCCUGUAUUAUUCCGGUUCGGACCUGCUCCAGUGCCUCUGCACUGUACGGUAUCAACACGCGCUGCAACAGUGUGACAAGCACCUGUAACCAAGAUCUUGAGGGCUUUAGAAAUCUGGAUUCAAACUAUGAUUCUGAAAUAUUUGUUAUUAUGCUGCAUAAUCAAUAGGGAGAGGGCGGUGGGAGCACCCGCUGGCUGCGAGGCUCCAGGACUCAAACCUCAGCAGGCCUAUGUGUCCAUUGUUCUGAAGGUGGAACAUCUCCCCAGGAGGCAGGUUGUGAUCAGAGAAUAGGACGGGCUUUUGGGGGCUAAAGAGGGCGGCCAUCGUGUUGAUGUUGAUGGGGGAUUACAUGUUGUUGACCACUGAACCGCACUGUCACUGAGUUUGUUUUCCAUCAAGUCUGAAAAACUGUAGCUAGGGGGAGUUAUGUCUUUGCCCAGUCUGGGAACGGACAGCCAAGGCCGUUGCUAUGGUAACCAUCGCGAUAGACUGGGAAAAGUUCUAGCAGCUAUCUGUGUAAGCUGAGUCUUCUGUGUAUUGCCUCUGAACUGAGAGGUUGUCUUCUGUGUUUACCUUUGGAGAGAGAUGUACCAGAAGGGGGGUGACUGAAGAAACUCUACAUGUAUUUACUCUUAAGCCUUUGGCCGUAAUGUCUUAAUAAAGACUCUUA